UUAGGUUCUAGAUAGCACCUUUUGUCUGUGUGUGUGUGUGUGUGUGUGUGUGUUUGUCAUACACACACACACACACACACACACACACACACACACAGACACACACAGUCAUUGUGUGUGUCUGUGUUUGUCACACACACACACACACUGUUAUCCUCCUCCUAUGGGAACAGCU